CAAUAGCGUAUAUUAAAGUUGUUGCGGUUAAAAAGCUCGUAGUUGGAUUUGGGCUGGCGGCACGCCCAGUCGCCUCACGGCGGCCUCGGGUGUGUAACCGCUUGCCGCUAGCCGGUAUCCUCCGGGGGUGCCCUUCACUGGGACGCCUUCGGCGGCCGGCAUGUUUACUUUGAGAAAAUUAGAGUGUUCAAAGCAGGCCUAAGAUGCCUGAACGGUGGUGCAUGGAAUAAUGGAAUAGGACCUCGGUUCUAUUUUGUUGGCUUUCGGAAAUCGAGGUAAUGAUUAAGCGGGGCAGAGCGGGGGCAAACGUACUACGGUGCGAGAGGUGAAAUUCUUAGACCAUCGUAGGACGAACUAAAGCGAAAGCAUUUGCCAAGGAUGUUUUCAUUAAUCAAGAGCGAAAGUCAGAGGUU
rnacentral:rRNA from 4 species